GACGAACGCUGGCGGCGUGCUUAACACAUGCAAGUCGAGCGGUAAGGCCCUUUCGGGGGUACGACGAGCGGCGAACGGGUGAGUAACACGUGGGUGACCUGCCCUUAGCUCUGGGAUAAGCCUGGGAAACUGGGUCUAAUACCGGAUAUGACUCCAUGACGCAUGUUGUGGGGUGGAAAGCCUUGUGCGGCUAGGGAUGGGCCUGCGGCCUAUCAGCUUGUUGGUGGGGUGA
rnacentral:rRNA from 1 species